UGUUACUUGUCCUUAUUUGUGAACUUCCCUCUGGGCUGGAGGAAAUCUCUUGGGAAGCCCUGUUCACACCUCCUCCCUGUUGUAAAUAACAUCUGACACAGUUAUGGCUGGGCGCACACAGCUCCUGGGGGGAUGCUGGUAGCUCUUGCCAUGCUGCUCUGUAACCCAGCCAGGCUCCCAGCUCCUCACUGGCUCUUUUGGUGAGGUUCAUAGCUCUGGCAUCUUCAAAAAGAGCUGACAGAUCUGUGCAGACUGAGGAUAGGCCAUCAGGGUUUUUUGUUUUUCAUUCUGCAUCAUUGCAAUGCCCCUAAAACCAUUUUCCAUUUCUGUCAUCCAUGAUUUUUCUUCUUUCAUGCAGCAUUCCCUGUUUCAUCUGAACGCAUCCUGCUUGUGCAUUUUAUGGCAAAUAUUCCCUGCACAGGCAGAGACAGCUGGUGCCAGGCUGGUCUGGAGCUAUAGAUAUGCUGAUGAGCUGGCACACCAGCUUGAAGGGACACACUUCCUUAUGAGCCAGCCAGGAGUUACAUACAUUUAGAUUUGCCAGCCUUUUAGCUGCCAGACGGGUCAAAUUCACGUUGCUGUCAGUUGUUGGCAGCAGAACCUGCGGCUCUGGGGAUCUGCUGUGACACUGCUGGCACUUUGCUGUGCCUGUGUCACAAGUGCCAGCGUCAGCUCCCACGCUCAGAGCGGCUCCGGUGAGGGCAGUGCUGAGAAAUGAGAGUUUCUCUGGCAAUUCUCCUGGUUUGCCAGCAUGGAUGAGCCUGGAGGUGCUUUUGCUCCAGCUGUGAUGGUGCAAGGAUCCAGCCCUGCCUGGGCUUAGGGACAAUCAGAGGCAGAGACAAGCUCCUGGAUCAGCCAAAGGGAGCUGGCAGCACGGAGCUGUCUGGGGCAGGCAGCCCCUUCGUGCCGGGCAGAGCAUGGCUUCUCCUGUGGCUCCUGGGCAGGCUCUCUGCUUCUGCUGCUUCCUGGUUACGUCAGAGAAGAGCCUCCCGUCCUCGAGCCCAGCGCUGCAGUCCAGGACGGCUGGAAACAAAUGAAGUGUUGAAUAUCUAAUGGCUUCCACAGGGAGAGCUGCUCCAUCCUCCCCAGGCCCCCGGCAUUCCUCACCUCCUAGGCCUCCCUCCUUCCUUCCCUCGGACAAGCCAGGGUUGCAGAGGGAGCUGCAGGCUCCUGGGCAGCCCCAGCUGCUCUGGGAACACGUGCAGCGACUUCCCUGGUGUUGCUGCUGCAACCAAGACCCUCCCAUGGCCUUCCUGCCUCUCCACGGGUUCAGGGAGGUGGUUUGGGGGCAUCCAGGUUAUUGCUAAGAUCCAGAGGUUGCUUUGGGAGGGCUCCAGCCCUGUGUGCUGUGGUGGUGAUGUUCAACUCGGCCACAGUGCUGGGAGGGCUGGGGCUGCCAUCCUGUUUGCUCAGAGUCUGGGAGUGUCCUUCCAGGAAAGCUGCCCAUCAUUCCCAGGGUAUCAGCCGGGGCUCCCAGGCUCUCAGGGGCAGAUGAGUGCGUGUGUGACUCGCCAGUUCCCAGCGCUGGGAGUGCCAGUGACUCACAGCUCUCCUGCCAGGGCUGUGGGGGAAAUGCCCCACAGCUGUGAGCAUCCCCCUCACUUCUGCUGCUUUCUCUUCCCGUGGUUGUGUGCAGCAGGGCUCUCCUCACCCAUUUCCUGCAGACAGCCCCACCCCAGGGGGCUGCCCUGUAGCUCUGCCAGGGCUGUGUCUGGUGGGCAGUGACUCACGGGGAAAGCUGUGUCUGAGCCCUGAGGGAGCAGAGGAAUUGCCUUCAGGUGGUGUCACUCCGAGGUGAGACCCUAGCCUGGGUCUCUUCCCCUCAGGGCAGCAGCCAGCUGGUGAAUCAGUUGUCUGUGCCUCCAGAGUCCGUGUGCUGACACAUCAGCCGGGUGCCUUCGCCCCCAGCCCUGUGCUCACCGAGCUCCUGUGUCCCCUGGCCAGCCCGUUAUGUCAUCCCUGGGACCGUGUCCAUGGAACUGUUCGUUCUUUUGAGUGCCUCUCCAUACAGUCCUUCACCCUGUCACCAGGAAAGGUGGCUUCAGCUGUUGUUCCCUGGGAGCAGAGCACAUCCUUGCUGCUCUGCCAGCACUGGGAUCACCUGCUGCCAGCACUGCUCCGGGCUGGAGCCACAGUCAGGAGCACAGGGAGGCCAGCAUGGAGACUGUCCCAUGGGAGCCCUCCUGACCCUUGGCUGGGGCAGUCUGGUUACUUCAAUCAAA